rnacentral:miRNA from 1 species
UGGGGAAAGUUGAUCGUCUCU